AAGUCGUAACAAGGUAACCGUAGGUGAACCUGCGGUUGGAUCAUUAAAGGAAAAAAAAAUAAACCCCUUUGGGGUAAUAAUAUACCCAAAGGGUUUAUUUUAUUUCAAUUCCCCCCUUUGUGAAUUGUUUGGUGUUUGUGGCAAGAGCCUUUCUUCUCCCCAUAUGGGGGGGAAAUCUCUUGCCAAUGUAUUUUAUUUUUACUCCUUUUUGUUGUAUGGUAUGAAAAUAAAACUGCCCCAAGUGGGGAGGUUUUUUUAAUUUGAAUGGAGAAAAUAACUUUAGACAAUGGAUCUCUUGGCUCUC
rnacentral:misc_RNA from 1 species